GAAACAUUCACUCGGGUUUUU
rnacentral:miRNA from 1 species